AUCUUGCACAAUGGGGGCAACCCUGNNGCAGCGACGCCGCGUGAGCGAUGAAGCCCUUCGGGGUGUAAAGCUCUUUCGGCAGGAACGAUAAUGACGGUACCUGAAGAAGAAGCUGCGGCUAACUACGUGCCAGCAGCCGCGGUAAUACGUAGGCAGCGAGCGUUGUUCGGAGUUACUGGGCGUAAAGAGUGUGUAGGCGGUUCUCUAAGUUCGGUGUGAAAUCUCCCGGCUCAACUGGGAGGGUGCGCCGGAAACUGGAGGGCUUGAGUAUGGGAGAGGAAAGCGGAAUUCCUGGUGUAGCGGUGAAAUGCGUAGAUAUCAGGAGGAACACCUGCGGUGUAGACGGCCUUCUGGACCAUCACUGACGCUGAGACACGAAAGCGUGGGUAGCAAACAGGAUUAGAUACCCUGGUAGUCCACGCCCUAAACGAUGCAUACUUGGUGUGAGCCGUUCAUUCGGUUCGUGCCGGAGCUAACGCGUUAAGUAUGCCGCCUGGGGAGUACGGUCGCAAGGCUGAAACUCAAAAGAAUUGACGGA
rnacentral:rRNA from 1 species